rnacentral:rRNA from 1 species
UGGGGAAUUUUGGACAAUGGGGGAAACCCUGAUCCAGCCAUCCCGCGUGUGCGAUGAAGGCCUUCGGGUUGUAAAGCACUUUUGGCAGGAAAGAAACGUCGCGGGUUAAUACCCCGCGAAACUGACGGUACCUGCAGAAUAAGCACCGGCUAACUACGUGCCAGCAGCCGCGGUAAUACGUAGGGUGCAAGCGUUAAUCGGAAUUACUGGGCGUAAAGCGUGCGCAGGCGGUUCGGAAAGAAAGAUGUGAAAUCCCAGAGCUUAACUUUGGAACUGCAUUUUUAACUACCGGGCUAGAGUGUGUCAGAGGGAGGUGGAAUUCCGCGUGUAGCAGUGAAAUGCGUAGAUAUGCGGAGGAACACCGAUGGCGAAGGCAGCCUCCUGGGAUAACACUGACGCUCAUGCACGAAAGCGUGGGGAGCAAACAGGAUUAGAUACCCUGGUAGUCCACGCCCUAAACGAUGUCAACUAGCUGUUGGGGCCUUCGGGCCUUGGUAGCGCAGCUAACGCGUGAAGUUGACCGCCUGGGGAGUACGGUCGCAAGAUUAAAAACUCAAAGGAAUUGGAC